ensembl:lncRNA
AUCAGGGAAAGCGAAGGCAGGAGCGUGAGGUGAACUGAAUUUCAGAGAAAAGGCUGAGCAAACAAUAUGGAAUAGACUGCAACAACUAACAGCCAUGAAGAAGAAACGAUUAAAGACCCACACGCCAAUGAAAAUUGGACUUUUAGGACAGUGAAGUGUCUGACACUGACCAUGUACCAGUGCCUGAGAACACUGGUAUGGAGGGGGAGAACGCACCUCUUUACUGCAUUUGUCGGAAACCAGACAUCAACUGCUUCAUGAUCCUUUGCCAUGAUAAAUUGGUCAGUUUACAACCAGGAGCCGUACACCUUAACCUCAGAGGCCAGGACAUCCAGGGGCAGUGUGAACACACACUUCUUUAAAUGGGAUGCAGGACUGACUAUAGAGGGCCACCCCCUCGCCAGACAACCAAGUGCUGUCCCUGUGCACGGCCAGUGUGAGAAGGACUCUCACUAAAGUCAACCCACACAAAGCUGCUGGACCAGACAAUAUACCCGGACGUGUGCUCGGAGCCUGUGCUGACCAGCUGACUGAUGUCCUAGCGGGCAUCUUUAACAUCUCCCUGAGUCAAGCUGUUGUGCCAAGUGCUUUAAAACCACCACCAUCUUACCUGUACCAAAGACAGCUACAGCCUCGCAGUUCGAAGACAAUGGACGAUGCGAUCUCAUUGGCACUCCACCUAGCCCUAUCACAACUGGAUCAAUGCAACGUCCACCUAAGAAUGCUGUUCACUGAUUUCAUCUUAGCAUUCAACACCAUCAUUGCCCAGCAGCUGAUCGGCAAGCUGGACCUGCUCAGACUUAACACCUCCACCUGCAACAGGAUCCUGGUCUUUCUUACUGAUGGACCCCAGACAGUACAGGUUGGAAACAUAAGAUCCAACACCAUCACACUGAGCACAGCCCCCCCCCCAGGGAUGUGUGCUGAGCCCGCUACUCUUCACGCUGCUGACCCACGACUGCACCUCCAGCUCCAACAUGUGAUGAGUCAAUGUUGUGAUUGUUUGUGAUUUAUGGUCCCCCUCUCUCCUAGCCUCCACCACCCAACAAACAGUCUGUGCUUCCAAGUGUUACUUAGUGUCUUUGUCUGAAAACUUAAUAAAUUGUUAACUGUUGACUCAGUUUUCUCCUGUUUUUCACUUAGAAGGUCAGGUAAGUAAAUUGUCUUUUGGUUGGAUUUUUUUUUUCUUUUUUAGGGACGCUUAGGAGUGUUUAGGUAUUUGUUGUUUGUUAUUUUUGGCAUUGCUCACUGCCGAUGUAAAUAAAUGGCUGCU